UUUCUUGCUUUUUCUAUGCAUUAGUAGGGCGUUUUAAAAAUAUUACACGUUUGACACGUGUUUAUAAACGGAAAUUAUUUCAAAGAGCAGCAUAAUUAUAUAUCUUGGCAUGGAAAUUUUAUUUUAAAAAUGUUUCCGAUUUUCCCAUACGUGAAAUCAUGUUAUAUUCUGCCAAGGUCACUUUUUGUGUUGCAAUUGCCAUCCAAAUGUGUAUAAUUUGCGUGUGGAUAUUUUUCUACAAAAGAAAUUUUCAAAUGUGUGGACGACAUUAUGGUGAAAUCGCCACUCUGACAAAGACAGAAGGCAGACUAACAACUUGCCCACUUAUUCCUAUUGGAUUAGUUGGAAGCAUCACUGUUAAUAAAACUGAUCCGCAAACAUGGACGACGAUUGAACAGAAGUAUAGUGUAAUAAAAGACGGUGGUUUUGUGCCUGAAAACUGUACGUCCCGACAGCGAGUGGCCAUUCUCGUUCCAUUUCGCGACAGGGAAAGCCAUCUUAGAAUUUUUCUGAAUCAUAUGCACGCCUUUCUUAUGAAACAACAACUGGAAUAUGCAAUAUACGUUAUAGAACAGGUAAACAUCCAUAGCUUUAGAUAAUUUUAACUAUUGAUAUUUUAUCUCGUGUAUCAUUGUAUUGGAUCAUUUAAGCACUGAUAAACAUUGACAUUUUUUUUUAAUUUUGUAGCUUUUGCAUGAAAAAAUCUUCAGAUAGGAAAAAUAUUGUAUAAUAACUUUUAGCCCUAAAAUGUUCGCCAUUAUUUUAUCUUAUUCUUAUUAUCACUUUUUUGCUAUUUUGAAAGUUAUUUAGUCACUCUAUAUUAACUCUACUCAGUUUUUUGUUGCUUUAAUUUUUAAAGUAGUUCUAGAAAUAAAACAAGAGUACUUUAAAAAAAAAUUUAACUGCAGACGUAUUUCACAGUGUGAUCAAUUUCUUAAUCAAAUAUAUUUUUGUUUCGCGUGUCGAUUGGGAUAUUCGUUUGUUUGGGAAGAAGACUCUUCUUAGUGGAUACUUGAUAAAAGUAUGUCGAAAAAACAGGACUUGGCUCCUCUAUCAAGAAACAGCUCAUCUGAAUUUAGUCAUCUAUAUGGCAAUAGUCAAUUUUUGUUGGAAACCGAACCAUUUGCAAAAGCUAAACAGCAAUUCCAAUGAGCUUUUGAAUCCAAAGAUUUUGAAUUCAAUCGGGGUUUCUUGUUCAAUGUUGGAUUUAAGGAAGCUCUCAAAGACUCUGACUACGACUGCUUUGUGUUUCACGAUGUGGAUCUUCUUCCGGAAAACGACCACAAUAUCUACACCUGUCCUGUUGACCAACCAAAACAUUUAUCUGUUAUCUUGGAGAACUGGGAUUACAAAUUGCCGUAUGAUGCAAAUUUUGGAGGUGUUUCGGCCAUGACAAAAGAACAAUAUGAAGCUGUCAAUGGGUUUUCAAAUAGCUUCUUUGGUUGGGGCGGAGAAGAUGACGACUUUUACAACAGGGUAGUAUGGGCAAAUAUGUCCAUAUACAGAGCCAUAACUGGUGUUGGAAGGUACUCUUCUCUUCAACAUGUGACAGCAACAGAAAAUCCAGCAAGGUACAAAAUCCUCAGUAAAGGAAAAGAGCAGAUGUGGAAGGACGGGCUGAGUUCCCUCAACUAUAUAAUAAUACAGAGAAAAACUAAAAAACUGUUCAAUCAUAUCAUUGUAAAAACAAUAUAAUGUAUACUUCUAGAUCAUACAUGUAGUACUAACAGUACUAGAAGUUUAUUGUUGACGAUAAAAAGAAGGCACUUUUAAAAAAUUUUGCAGCAGUCUCAGAAAGGAAUAUUAAAAAGAUGUAUUUAAAAAACAACAAAAACUGUAAAUGUGCGUUUACUGAAAGAACAAGAUACGGUAUUGACAUUAUCUGGCCGCAAAAUUUACGAUACUAUCAACGUCUUUGUCUGCGUUAUUGAUGUUGUGCAUUGUACUAUAAAGUCCGUCCCAAGAUAUUUAUGCUGCACAUUGUUUGAUUAAAAUAAACAUACCUACG
rnacentral:misc_RNA from 1 species